AGUUUGAUCCUGGCUCAGGAUGAACGCUAGCGGCAGGCUUAACACAUGCAAGUCGAGGGGUAUAGGAAGCUUGCUUUCUAGAGACCGGCGCACGGGUGCGUAACGCGUAUGCAAUCUACCUUUCACAGAGGGAUAGCCCAGAGAAAUUUGGAUUAAUACCUCAUAGUAAUACGACUUGGCAUCAAGAUGUAUUUAAAGAUUUAUCGGUGAAAGAUGAGCAUGCGUCCCAUUAGCUAGUUGGUAUGGUAACGGCAUACCAAGGCUACGAUGGGUAGGGGUCCUGAGAGGGAGAUCCCCCACACUGGUACUGAGACACGGACCAGACUCCUACGGGAGGCAGCAGUGAGGAAUAUUGGACAAUGGGCGCAAGCCUGAUCCAGCCAUGCCGCGUGCAGGAUGACGGUCCUAUGGAUUGUAAACUGCUUUUAUACAGGAAGAAACACCUCUACGUGUAGAGACUUGACGGUACUGUAAGAAUAAGGAUCGGCUAACUCCGUGCCAGCAGCCGCGGUAAUACGGAGGAUCCAAGCGUUAUCCGGAAUCAUUGGGUUUAAAGGGUCCGUAGGCGGUCAGGUAAGUCAGUGGUGAAAGCCCAUCGCUCAACGGUGGAACGGCCAUUGAUACUGCUUGACUUGAAUUAUUAGGAAGUAACUAGAAUAUGUAGUGUAGCGGUGAAAUGCUUAGAGAUUACAUGGAAUACCAAUUGCGAAGGCAGGUUACUACUAAUAUAUUGACGCUGAUGGACGAAAGCGUGGGUAGCGAACAGGAUUAGAUACCCUGGUAGUCCACGCCGUAAACGAUGGAUACUAGCUGUUGGGAGCAAUCUCAGUGGCUAAGCGAAAGUGAUAAGUAUCCCACCUGGGGAGUACGAACGCAAGUUUGAAACUCAAAGGAAUUGACGGGGGCCCGCACAAGCGGUGGAGCAUGUGGUUUAAUUCGAUGAUACGCGAGGAACCUUACCAAGGCUUAAAUGUAGAUUGACCGGUUUGGAAACAGAUCUUUCGCAAGACAAUUUACAAGGUGCUGCAUGGUUGUCGUCAGCUCGUG
rnacentral:rRNA from 1 species